rnacentral:rRNA from 1 species
UACAGAGGUCCCAAGCGUUGUUCGGAUUCAUUGGGCGUAAAGGGUGCGUAGGUGGCGUCGUAAGUCGGGUGUGAAAUCUCGGGGCUUAACUCCGAAACUGCAUUCGAUACUGCGGUGCUUGAGGACUGGAGAGGAGACUGGAAUUUACGGUGUAGCAGUGAAAUGCGUAGAGAUCGUAAGGAAGACCAGUGGCGAAGGCGGGUCUCUGGACCAGUACUGACGCUGAGGCACGAAAGCGUGGGGAGCAAACAGG